rnacentral:rRNA from 1 species
UACGUAGGGGGCUAGCGUUGUCCGGAAUCAUUGGGCGUAAAGCGCGUGUAGGCGGCCAGGUAAGUCCGUUCUGAAAGCCCGGGGCUCAACCCCGGGAGGCGGAUGGAUACUGCUUGGCUCGAGUCCGGAAGAGGCGAGUGGAAUUCCCGGUGUAGCGGUGAAAUGCGCAGAUAUCGGGAGGAACACCGGUGGCGAAGGCGGCGACCUGGGUAGAUACUGACGCUGAGGCGCGAAAGCGUGGGGAGCAAACAGG